rnacentral:sRNA from 1 species
UAAUUCAUAGGUUAGUUGAGAGGAACAACUUCAGGCUGGUCAUAUAGAGCCAACACUUAGUCCUUGGAACACCCCCAUUUUUGUUAUUAAGAAAAAAAUCAAGGGCUGGGAUUGUGGCUCAGUGGUAGAGUGCUCGUUUAGCAUGCAUGAGGCACUGGGUUCAAUCCUCAGCACCACAUAAAUGUAAAAUAAAGAUUGUGUCCACCUAAAAAACUAAAAAAUAAAUAAAAAAAAAAAAGAAAAAAAUCAGGUAAUUGGAGAUUACUACAGGAUUUAAGGGCGAUAAAUCAUGCAAUUCAGCCUAUCGGAUCCUUACAGCCAGGACUUCCUUCCCCCACAGCCAUCCCUUUAAACUAUAGCUUGAUGGUAAUAGAUUUAAAAUAUUGCUUUUUCUCUAUAAGGUUACAUCCUGGAGAUUGUGAAAAAUUUGCCUUCAC